UUUGUAGAAUGAACCGGCGAGUUACGAUUUGAUGCAAGGUUAAGCAGUAAAUGUGGAGCCGUAGCGAAAGCGAGUCUGAAUAGGGCGUUUAGUAUUUGGUCGUAGACCCGAAACCAGGUGAUCUACCCUUGGUCAGGUUGAAGUUCAGGUAACACUGAAUGGAGGACCGAACCGACUUACGUUGAAAAGUGAGCGGAUGAACUGAGGGUAGCGGAGAAAUUCCAAUCGAACCUGGAGAUAGCUGGUUCUCUCCGAAAUAGCUUUAGGGCUAGCCUCAAGUGAUGAUUAUUGGAGGUAGAGCACUGUUUGGACGAGGGGCCCCUCUCGGGUUACCGAAUUCAGACAAACUCCGAAUGCCAAUUAAUUUAACUUGGGAGUCAGAACAUGGGUGAUAAGGUCCGUGUUCGAAAGGGAAACAGCCCAGACCACCAGCUAAGGUCCCAAAAUAUAUGUUAAGUGGAAAAGGAUGUGGCGUUGCCCAGACAACUAGGAUGUUGGCUUAGAAGCAGCCAUCAUUUAAAGAGUGCGUAAUAGCUCACUAGUCGAGUGACACUGCGCCGAAAAUGUACCGGGGCUAAACAUAUUACCGAAGCUGUGGAUUGUCCUUUGGACAAUGGUAGGAGAGCGUUCUAAGGGCGUUGAAGCAUGAUCGUAAGGACAUGUGGAGCGCUUAGAAGUGAGAAUGCCGGUGUGAGUAGCGAAAGACGGGUGAGAAUCCCGUCCACCGAUUGACUAAGGUUUCCAGAGGAAGGCUCGUCCGCUCUGGGUUAGUCGGGUCCUAAGCUGAGGCCGACAGGCGUAGGCGAUGGAUAACAGGUUGAUAUUCCUGUACCACCUAUAAUCGUUUUAAUCGAUGGGGGGACGCAGUAGGAUAGGCGAAGCGUGCGAUUGGAUUGCACGUCUAAGCAGUAAGGCUGAGUAUUAGGCAAAUCCGGUACUCAUUAAGGCUGAGCUGUGAUGGGGAGAAGACAUUGUGUCUUCGAGUCGUUGAUUUCACACUGCCGAGAAAAGCCUCUAGAUAGAAAAUAGGUGCCCGUACCGCAAACCGACACAGGUAGUCAAGAUGAGAAUUCUAAGGUGAGCGAGCGAACUCUCGUUAAGGAACUCGGCAAAAUGACCCCGUAACUUCGGGAGAAGGGGUGCUCUUUAGGGUUAACGCCCAGAAGAGCCGCAGUGAAUAGGCCCAAGCGACUGUUUAUCAAAAACACAGGUCUCUGCUAAACCGUAAGGUGAUGUAUAGGGGCUGACGCCUGCCCGGUGCUGGAAGGUUAAGAGGAGUGGUUAGCUUCUGCGAAGCUACGAAUCGAAGCCCCAGUAAACGGCGGCCGUAACUAUAACGGUCCUAAGGUAGCGAAAUUCCUUGUCGGGUAAGUUCCGACCCGCACGAAAGGCGUAACGAUUUGGGCACUGUCUCAACGAGAGACUCGGUGAAAUCAUAGUACCUGUGAAGAUGCAGGUUACCCGCGACAGGACGGAAAGACCCCGUGGAGCUUUACUGUAGCCUGAUAUUGAAAUUCGGCACAGCUUGUACAGGAUAGGUAGGAGCCUUUGAAACGUGAGCGCUAGCUUACGUGGAGGCGCUGGUGGGAUACUACCCUAGCUGUGUUGGCUUUCUAACCCGCACCACUUAUCGUGGUGGGAGACAGUGUCAGGCGGGCAGUUUGACUGGGGCGGUCGCCUCCUAAAAGGUAACGGAGGCGCUCAAAGGUUCCCUCAGAAUGGUUGGAAAUCAUUCAUAGAGUGUAAAGGCAUAAGGGAGCUUGACUGCGAGACCUACAAGUCGAGCAGGGUCGAAAGACGGACUUAGUGAUCCGGUGGUUCCGCAUGGAAGGGCCAUCGCUCAACGGAUAAAAGCUACCCCGGGGAUAACAGGCUUAUCUCCCCCAAGAGUUCACAUCGACGGGGAGGUUUGGCACCUCGAUGUCGGCUCAUCGCAUCCUGGGGCUGUAGUCGGUCCCAAGGGUUGGGCUGUUCGCCCAUUAAAGCGGUACGCGAGCUGGGUUCAGAACGUCGUGAGACAGUUCGGUCCCUAUCCGUCGUGGGCGUAGGAAAUUUGAGAGGAGCUGUCCUUAGUACGAGAGGACCGGGAUGGACAUACCUCUGGUGUACCAGUUGUCGUGCCAACGGCAUAGCUGGGUAGCUAUGUGUGGACGGGAUAAGUGCUGAAAGCAUCUAAGCAUGAAGCCCCCCUCAAGAUGAGAUUUCCCAACUUCGGUUAUAAGAUCCCUCAAAGAUGAUGAGGUUAAUAGGUUCGAGGUGGAAGCAUGGUGACAUGUGGAGCUGACGAAUACUAA
rnacentral:rRNA from 1 species